UCUGUUACUAAGGAAACCACAGCAACUUUGGAAUUUUCCCGUGGGAAUCACGAUCACAAACCGGAAAGAAAUCUAUUAAGAGUUUUAGAAGAAGAAAAAUAUCCACAAGGAAACAUUAUGCCUGCCUCAGAUUUCCUUCCAUCCAAACCCUGACAAGCUUCCUUAAUAUUAUGGAGGCUGACAGUGCCGGAGGACUUGAGGUUGAAUAGAGAGAAAAGGAACAAUCAAGAGAUCAUUGAUAAUGGUUGAAAAUACCUUUGGACCCCAACUCGGGACCUCACACUCAUGAUGCCUUUCCACUGGGGUGUCCUAGAUCAUCAGCCUGGGAGGGAAACAAUAAAAGUAUGGAGAAACAGCUGCAAACUCACUGAAGCUUUUUUCUGGGAGGAAAACACCAUGGGAAGACAGACACACCCAGGGAUAAUGGUAUGUGAUGACAGAGGCAGAGAUUGGCGUGAGGUAGCUGCGAGCCAAGAAGCAUCAAGUAUUGAUGCCCACCACCAGAAGGCAAGCUAUUCCAGACUGAAACCUCAUGGAGAAAGAAGAGAUGAUUAAUGGGACAAGUGAAAAUUUGCUCCUUAUGGCAUCAUCCAACUGUGUAUAUAGCAAGCAUCAUUGUAUUUUAACAUGCUGGGAACACUCGUCUGGAUUGAAUGUUAGUCAAUAAAAAUUCUCUUUUAAAGGA